UGGAACAAAAUUAUAGUCAUGUGACCAUUAUAUUUACAAGCCCCUCCCAUUCUCCCCUUGCCAGGAAGGUGAAGUUGGUGCUGUUGCUGUGGAAUAGAGUGGUUUCGGAGGUUUCUUGCACGUUGCCAUCUCUCUGUCCGAACUCCAGAGGCAACAUCCCUGGGAAGGGCUACAGCCUUCAAUAAAACUACAGUAGGGGAGUUCUUCGACAAGCUGGCUGUAGUGAUGGACAGGUGACACUUUUUUAGUUGCAAAUGUUUUAAGUUAGCUUUACCCAUAAGAUUUGUUUUGAAUUCUGAUAAGGUUUUUUUUUGCCUCUCCUCUUUCAUAGGCACACAUUCCCUCCACACAUGAUUUACAAUGUAGAUGAAACCGGCGUCUUUACAGUUCAAAAGCCACGACAGGUUGUGACAGAGAAAGGAAAAAAGCAAGUUGGUUCUAUCACAUCAUCUGAGAGGGGAGAACUAGUGACUGUGGUGUGUGCAGUGAAUGCUGCUGGGAAUGCCAUACCUCCUAUGUUUGUCUUCCCCAGAGUUAGGUUUAAGGAUGACUUCCUGAUAGGAGCACCUCCAGGAGCCAAAGGUGCCUCCACCAGAACAGGAUGGAUGAAUGAAGACACCUGGCCUGAGUUUCUUGAUCACCUGAUAUGGCACACUCAGUGCACUCCUGAUCGUCCCAUUCUGCUAAUCCUUGAUAAUCUCAAAGCUCACAUUUCACUCAAGGCAGUACAAAAAGCAAAGAGCAACGGUAUUGUUCUGCUCACCAUUCCACCUCACACAUCCCAUCACAUGCAACCUCUUGAUGUAACCGUGUGUAUGGCCCUUUCAAGACCAUGUACAACCAAGCUCUUGAUGGGUGGAUGAGAUCUAACCCUGGCAAAACAGUCUCCAUCUACCAGAUUGCAGGACUUGUGAAUGAGGCCUUCUUGUCAGCAGUAACACCAAGGAAUAUCAUUUCAGGAUUUAAAUCGACUGGGAUUUUCCCGUAUAAAAGAGACAUUUUCCCUGAGGAAGCAUUUGCACCAUCCAUGAUGUCAGACCGGCCAAACCCUGAGCUGCAGCCUGCAUCUACUGAUUCAUCCACUUCAGAAGAUCAGCAUGGUCCACAUCCUGAAGAUGACCCAUUCACUGAUGCCAAUCCAUCCACUCCACGAGGUCCACAUGGAUGUGCCUCGCCAGCAGACUCAGAUGUUCCCAGCCGAAAUGAAUGUGUGUCUCUUCCUGAAAUUCUACCAUUUCCCAAAUGUCCCCCCAGAGUACAAACCAAAAGAAAGCGUGUGAAGACGGCCAUCCUAACAGAUACCCCGGAGAAGCAGGCAAUAGAAAAGGCUUAUGAAGAGAGGCAAAAGAAACUCGCACGGAAAAAGCAAAAUAGCAAAGAAAAGGGAAAACUGAAAAAGAAAGCACCCAAAAAGGAAAAUCAUAGAAAGCAGCUCUGAGGAAAGUGAUGUCCCUGUUCAACUUGAUGAUGAGAACUCUGAGGAUGAGGGAAGUGAUCCUGAAAACACAGAUUUGAGUGUGGGUGACUUUGUCUUAGUUAACUUUUCCACCAAACACAGGAGUCUCCGUUAUGUUGGCAUGGUUAAGAAUGUUGAGGAUGACGAAGUCCUUAUACAAUUCCUCAGAAGAAUCCAGGGAAACAAACAGUGGGAAAAGACCCACGUUUGUUAUAAAAGAAAAUGAUGUGGCACAUGUUCCUAAAGGUGAUGUUGUGAAAAAGCUGCCUCAACCUAAUAGGCCUGGAGGAACCACACGGAGAGAGCAAUUCUUCACCUUUCCCUGUAACUUUCAGGGCUGGAAUGUAGAGUAGGCAUUGUCAUUGAGUAUGAGGCUGAUGUUCUAAUCCAGGUGUGUCCAGCCUCUGUCCUUAGUCCCGAGCUGUUCUAGCUGGUUAUGAUAAGCCUAUUUUCUGAGCCCCAGUCUGUAGUGUGUUCUAGCUGGUUCUGAUUAUGGGUCCAUGUUCUGAGACCCAGACUGUGCAUUAGCUGGUUCUGCUUGUACUUUGCUCUUGACACCCAGAUACUAGCUAAAGGUCCUGUGUUAUGAUUCUCACACUGUGAAUGUUAAUUAAAACAUUUUGAAGUAUA